rnacentral:rRNA from 1 species
AACGAACGCUGGCGGCAUGCCUAAUACAUGCAAGUCGAACGAGAUCUUCGGAUCUAGUGGCGCACGGGUGCGUAACGCGUGGGAAUCUACCCUUGGGUUCGGAAUAACAGUUAGAAAUGACUGCUAAUACCGGAUGAUGAUGUAAGUCCAAAGAUUUAUCGCCCAGGGAUGAGCCCGCGUAGGAUUAGCUAGUUGGUGAGGUAAAGGCUCACCAAGGCUACGAUCCUUAGCUGGUCUGAGAGGAUGAUCAGCCACACUGGGACUGAGACACGGCCCAGACUCCUACGGGAGGCAGCAGUAGGGAAUAUUGGACAAUGGGCGAAAGCCUGAUCCAGCAAUGCCGCGUGAGCGAUGAAGGCCUUAGGGUUGUAAAGCUCUUUUACCCGGGAUGAUAAUGACAGUACCGGGAGAAUAAGCCCCGGCUAACUCCGUGCCAGCAGCCGCGGUAAUACGGAGGGGGCUAGCGUUGUUCGGAAUUACUGGGCGUAAAGCGCACGUAGGCGGCUAUUCAAGUCAGAGGUGAAAGCCCGGGGCUCAACCCCGGAAUUGCCUUUGAAACUAGAUAGCUUGAAUCACGGAGAGGUGGGUGGAAUUCCGAGUGUAGAGGUGAAAUUCGUAGAUAUUCGGAAGAACACCAGUG